rnacentral:rRNA from 1 species
AUUGAACGCUGGCGGCAGGCUUAACACAUGCAAGUCGAGCGGGGUGAUGGUGCUUGCACUAUCACUUAGCGGCGGACGGGUGAGUAAUGCUUAGGAAUCUGCCUAUUAGUGGGGGACAACAUCUCGAAAGGGAUGCUAAUACCGCAUACGUCCUACGGGAGAAAGCAGGGGAUCACUUGUGACCUUGCGCUAAUAGAUGAGCCUAAGUCGGAUUAGCUAGUUGGUGGGGUAAAGGCCUACCAAGGCGACGAUCUGUAGCGGGUCUGAGAGGAUGAUCCGCCACCAUGGGACUGCGACACGGCCCAGACUCCUACGGGAGGCAGCAGUGGGGAAUAUUGGACAAUGGGGGGAACCCUGAUCCAGCCAUGCCGCGUGUGUGAAGAAGGCCUUAUGGUUGUAAAGCACUUUAAGCGAGGAGGAGGCUCUUUUGGUUAAUACCCAAGAUGAGUGGACGUUACUCGCAGAAUAAGCACCGGCUAACUCUGUGCCAGCCGCCGCAGUAA